rnacentral:misc_RNA from 1 species
CCAGCAUUACAAAGUACCCCUUUGGGAGUAGGUCUAUCAGCAGCCAUUGCUAAAUCUAAAGAAAACAGCUGCAAAGAUAUCAAAGACUCGAACUUGAUUCUUAGGGUCCUCUCUUGAGAGGGCGAUCACACAAAACCACAGUCGCAUGGCCAGUGGGUAUAACUCCAAACAAGCAAAUUCAACAACCCAAAUUCAAGAUUGAAUUGCCCCCAAACAGUUUUUUCUUUGAUUCACACAACUAAAGGGGCAAUUCAAGAUUCGAUUUUUUUGAAAAGGGGUUAGUUCGAUCAGAUCAAGAAUCGAAAAAAAUCGUCAAUUCGGG